UACGUAGGGGGGCAAGCGUUGUCCGGAUUUAUUGGGCGUAAAGAGCGUGUAGGCGGCCAGACAGGUCAGCUGUGAAAACUCGAGGCUCAACCUCGAGACGUCGGUUGAAACCGUUUGGCUAGAGUCCGGAAGAGGAGAGUGGAAUUCCCGGUGUAGCGGUGAAAUGCGCAGAUAUCGGGAGGAACACCGAUGGCGAAGGCAGGUCUCUGGGCCGAUACUGACGCUGAGGAGCGAAAGCGUGGGGAGCGAACAGG
rnacentral:rRNA from 1 species